GGAGGGGUGGCGGAGUGGCCGAACGCGGCGGUCUUGAAAACCGUUGAGGCGAAAGCCUCCGGGGGUUCGAUUCCCUCCCCCUCCGCCA
rnacentral:tRNA from 1 species